CCCCUCUCAGGGCCACACCUGGAGAGUUUCCAGUACUCUACCGGUCUCGGCUACGGGAGGGAGAGUCAAGCAGAAGGAUAGCCAUUCCAUUCCCAGCUUGGUCAGUGGCUAGCGAGUGGAAGGCCAUCUGCUACAAGU
rnacentral:snoRNA from 1 species